GGGGAUUUAGCUCAGUGGCACAGCGCCUGCCUUGUAAGCAGGCAAUCGUGAGUUUGAUCCCUG
rnacentral:tRNA from 1 species